rnacentral:rRNA from 1 species
UACGAAGGGGGCUAGCGUUGUUCGGAAUUACUGGGCGUAAAGCGCGCGCAGGCGGCUAUCCAAGUCAGUGGUGAAAGCCCGGAGCUCAACUCCGGAACUGCCAUUGAAACUGUUUAGCUUGAGGACGAGAGAGGUGAGUGGAAUUCCCAGUGUAGAGGUGAAAUGCGCAGAUAUCGGGAAGAACACCCGUGGCGAAGGCGGCUCUCUGGGACGGUACUGACGCUGAGACGCGAAAGCGUGGGGAGCGAACAGG